rnacentral:lncRNA from 1 species
AGGUUUCAAGACAUUACAGAAAGAGUUGAAGAGAGAGAGAGAGAUAAGAUCAUUGUCUGUCUGUAGACAUAUAUAUUAGAGAUGAUAAAACUUGUGUGUGAUGAGGAGCUAAUUAUGAUAUUAUCAUUUUUAAUUACUUUAUCAUCACCUCUUUUUAUUAUUGCUUUACAAAGUUACAAAGAUAGUUUUGUGUUUUAGAAAUCGUUCUCAAAGAAUCCAUAGUCAAUUAGUCAAAGCCGUUUAAUUGAUGUUAACAGAGAAUCU